GUGGUGCCUGGCCAGAGUAAGCUUCACUGUGGAACAGACUUUAUGGCUAUCAGUAGAAGUCUGGGGGCCAAGGUUUUGUUCAUGGUCCAGUCAACCCCUGCAGCUUUCUUCUGCCGCUGAGGUCCCCUGCCAAAGAAGAUGUAGUUGACCAGCGCAUACUCCAGCAGAGCCAGGAAGACAAAGACGAAACAGCCCAUAAGGACUUGACACCUGCACACAGUGCCAAAGCUACCAGUACCUGGUUUAAGGACCAUGGUAUCCCUGUUCUUAAUUGGCCAGCAAACUCGCCUGACCUUAACCCCAUAGAAAAUCUAUGGGGUAUUGUGAAGAGGAAGAUGCGAUAUGCCAGACCCAACAAUGCAGAAGAGCUGAAGGCCACUAUCAGAGCAACCUGGGCUCUCAUAACACCUGAGCAGUGCUACAGACUGAUCGACUCCAUGCCACGCUGCAUUGCUGCAGUAAUUCAGGCAAAAGGAGCCCCAACUAAGUAUUGAGUGCUGUACAUGCUCAUACUUUUCAUGUUCAUACUUUUCAGUUGGCCAAGAUUUCUAAAAAUCCUUUCUUUGUAUUGGUCUUAAGUAAUAUUCUAAUACUGAAUUUGGGAUUUUCAUUAGUUGUCAGUUAUAAUCAUCAAAUUAAAAGAAA